UACGUAGGGUGCGAGCGUUAAUCGGAAUUACUGGGCGUAAAGCGUGCGCAGGCGGUUCGUUAAGUCAGCUGUGAAAGCCCCGGGCUUAACCUGGGAAUGGCGGUUGAAACUGGCGAACUUGAAUCUGGCAGAGGGGGGGUGGAAUUCCACGUGUAGCAGUGAAAUGCGUAGAGAUGUGGAGGAACACCGAUGGCGAAGGCAGCCCCCCCUGGGCUGAGAUUGACGCUCAGGCACGAAGCGUGGGAGCAAACAGG
rnacentral:rRNA from 1 species